UGGGGAAUUUUGCACAAUGGGCGAAAGCCUGAUGCAGCAACGCCGCGUGCGGGAUGAAGGCCCUCGGGUCGUAAACCGCUUUCAGCAGGGAUGAAAUUGACAGUACCUGCAGAAGAAGCCCCGGCUAAAUACGUGCCAGCAGCCGCGGUAAUACGUAUGGGGGCAAGCGUUAUCCGGAUUCAUUGGGCGUAAAGCGCGCGUAGGCGGCUUGUUAAGUCAGAUGUGAAAACCGGGGGCUCAACCCGCGGCCUGCAUCUGAAACUGGCAGGCUUGAGUCUGGUAGAGGAAAGUGGAAUUCCUGGUGUAGCGGUGAAAUGCGCAGAUAUCAGGAGGAACACCAGUGGCAAAGGCGGCUUCUGGGCCACGACUGACGCUGAGGCGCGAAAGCUAGGGGAGCGACAGGAUUAGAUACCCUGGUAGUCCUAGCCGUAAACGAUGGGCACUAGGUGUGGGGGGUCGAUCGACUCCCUCCGUGCCGAAGCUAACG
rnacentral:rRNA from 1 species